ACCCGCUGAACUUAAGCAUAUCAAUAAGCGGAGGAAAAGAAACCAACAGGGAUUGCCCCAGUAACGGCGAGUGAAGCGGCAACAGCUCAAAUUUGAAAUCUGGCCCCUAGGGUCCGAGUUGUAAUUUGUAGAGGAUGCUUUUGGUGAGGUGCCGCCCGAGUUCCCUGGAACGGGACGCCGCAGAGGGUGAGAGCCCCGUCUGGCUGGCCACCGAGCCUCUGUAAAGCUCCUUCGACGAGUCGAGUAGUUUGGGAAUGCUGCUCAAAAUGGGAGGUAUAUGUCUUCUAAAGCUAAAUAUUGGCCAGAGACCGAUAGCGCACAAGUAGAGUGAUCGAAAGAUGAAAAGCACCUUGAAAAGAGGGUUAAACAGUACGUGAAAUUGUUGAAAGGGAAGCGCUUGUGACCAGACUUGGGCGCGGCGGAUCAUCCGGGGUUCUCCCCGGUGCACUUCGCCGUGUUCAGGCCAGCAUCAGUUCGGCGCGGGGGAAAAAGGCUUCGGGAACGUGGCUCCUCCGGGAGUGUUAUAGCCCGUUGCAUAAUACCCUGCGCUGGACUGAGGACCGCGCAUCUGCAAGGAUGC
rnacentral:rRNA from 1 species